AGAACGAACGCUGGCGGCAGGCUUAACACAUGCAAGUCGAGCGCCCCGCAAGGGGAGCGGCAGACGGGUGAGUAACGCGUGGGAAUCUACCCAUCACUACGGAACAACUCCGGGAAACUGGAGCUAAUACCGUAUACGUCCUUCGGAGAAAGAUUUAUCGGUGAUGGAUGAGCCCGCGUUGGAUUAGCUAGUUGGUGGGUAAUGGCCUACCAAGGCGACGAUCCAUAGCUGGUCUGAGAGGAUGAUCAGCCACAUUGGGACUGAGACACGGCCCAAACUCCUACGAGAGGCAGCAGUGGGGAAUAUUGGACAAUGGGCGAAAGCCUGAUCAGCCAUGCGCGUGAGUGAUGAAGGCCUAGGUUGAAAGCUCUUUCAACGGUGAAGAUAAGUGAACGGUAACCGUAAGAAGAACGCCCCGGACUAACUUCGUGCCCAGACCAAGCCGAC
rnacentral:rRNA from 1 species